AUGGCUCAGGAUUAACGCUGGCGGCAUGCCUAAUACAUGCAAGUCGAAUGGGAAGCUUGCUUUCCAUGGCGAACGGGUGAGUAACACGUAGGUAACCUGCCUUACGCUCGAGGAUAACCGUUGGAAACGACGGAUAAUACUGGAUAGGACAGAGGGUCGCAUGACUUUUUGUUUAAAAGCAAUGGCGUAUGAGGGGCCUGCGGUGCAUUAGCUAGUUGGUGAGGUAACGGCUCACCAAGGCGAUGAUGCAUAGCUGGACUGAGAGGUUGAACAGCCACAAUGGGACUGAGAACGGCCCAUACUCCUACGGGAGGCAGCAGUAGGGAAUUUUCGGCAAUGGGGGGAAAAACCCCCUGACCGAGCAAUGCCGCGUGAACGACGAAGUAUUUCGGUAUGUAAAGUUCUUUUAUUAGGAAAGAUAGUGACGGUACCUAAUGAAUAAGCUCCGGCUAACUACGUGCCAGCCGCUGC
rnacentral:rRNA from 1 species